AUGAACCGCUUCCUGUCGCUGCUGGAAAUCACUUUCAGACGGGACCCCAACAACUUCAGGCCUCGCAUCAACAAGGCCCACUCUAUCAAGGACACCGAGCAGAAGAAGAGCGGAAACUACUUCUUCCUGGACGACUAACACCACUUCCUGCGUGAACGACCGUGACCGAAUAAAAGCCGUUAAAUCUCACCAAGGCUUCGUUAAAUAAAUAUAUCAUAAGGAACUUUAAAGAUUUAAAACCAACCCGUCGGCCUUUUAUUGCACCAAGUCUGCAUUCAAUAGCAGCAAUGUUGUUAAACGCUUAACUAAGUGCAUUGCAUUCUGGGUCAUGAUGUGUUCACAUUGUGGAGCAUAUUUUAAUUCAUGCAUUUACAACAAUAAACUGAUGCUACCUGAUCCAAGA